GCCGAGGUGGUGAAAUUGGUAGAUACAGGGGAUUUAAAAUCCCCCGGCUUAGGUCGUGCGGGUUCGACCCCCGCCCUCGGUACCA
rnacentral:tRNA from 1 species